rnacentral:lncRNA from 1 species
UUUCCCCACAUGGCAGUGGAGUUAGAGGCACUGGAGAGACAAUACCCAACUCUGUGUGGAAACACAGCACACUCAGGUCUGCAUGGGUGUAAGCCUUGGCUACUAAUGCCCUUCACUACUGAGCCACCUCUCUAGCCCUCUCCUCAUGUUCUUUAUCAAUUUACCUAAACUCCUUUCAACUUGAUUUCCUUUAGCCUUUUCAUUUGUAAGUCAAUUACAUUCAUGAAUUUCACAAAUUUAACAAACAUUCCAUAGGAAAAAAUGGCACCACUAGAAAGGAACACAUGAAAGAACUUUUUAUUACUUGAAAAAAUAAGCCUCUAUUAAGUGAAAACUAUGGACAAUCUUGAUAAAGUUACAAAUAAAAAGUUGUCAAAGUGAAUUAUAAUAAACAGAAAACCUUUAGGAAAGUGGUAUUUUCUUUUUACAAAAUUAGAAGAACAAAUUGAUAUCUGUAUAUAUUUUUUAAAAUAUUUAUUUAUUAUAUGUAAUUACACUGUAGCUGUCUUCAGACAUUCCAGAAGAGGUCAUCAGAUUUCAUUAUGGGUGGUUGUGAGCCACCAUGUGGUUGCUGGGAUUUGAACUCAGUCGGCACUCUUAACCACUGAGCCAUCUCACCAGCCCCAGAUAUCUGUAUAUUAUUAAAAGGUCAUUGAAAUUUUAAAAAUUAAGAUAGAAAUUAGUCACACAGCAGGUUAAAUAUAAUUAAAGAAGAAAAGUGGAAGACAAACGUGAGAAAACCCUAAUCAUAACAACCAAAGGAAACCUCUGACAUUCUUCCCACAGCUGUAGGCAGUCUUUACUGGACAUCUAAUGUCCAUGAAGCAUCAACAUUGAUCUUUGCGUCUAGCUUCUUUUACUUAGAAUUGUGUCUGGGGUUUGUCCAUGUGGGUAUGAGCACUUUGUUCCUUUUUAUUGACCAGUGGAACUCUGUCUUUACCUGUCGAAAGCACUCACCAGUUUAGGCAAACUGGAUUAUUUGAAAUUGUCUGACAUGAAUAAAUCUACCAUGAACAUUCUUGUAUACAGAUAUGCUUUGAUUUCUCAUACUUAGGUCCCUAGGAGUGGAAUUGCUGAGUUGUAUUUAUUGCAUAUGAAAGUCACAAACCAUUGUGCUGUCACAGAAAAUGGCAGAGUAGGCUACCCCCCAGAUCAUUUUCUCUACUGAAAUCACCAUAAACUGCCAAAUUUGACAGAUUAAACCAUGCUGAGCCCUGGGGUCAAAGCUGAUAUUUGCAGCCGCCUAGGAGUGCUGGGUGAAGAGAGAGCCACUGAAUUUCAGAGGAAAACAUAGAGACGUUCUCUCCUGCCUGCAUGUCAUCUUCCCCAUGCUCUUGAUGGCAGUCCAUGUUCUUGAUGCAGCUUGCUGGAGUUAGGAGACAUAUAUGAACCUCUUUCCAGAGCUAUGUAUAUUCUGACCUGCUUUGAUGGGCCCCCAAAGGAGUAGUGCAGAACCUGACUAACUGUCCCACUAACACUCCUUGGUUGUCGCAGCUUUCUGAGAUAUAUGAUCUCAUAUACUCUGAAGCCUUCAGGGGCAAGGAAUAGUUGAAAAGGCAUAUAGCAGAUACACCACCCCC